UACGGGGGGGGCAAGCGUUGUUCGGAAUUACUGGGCGUAAAGCGCGCGUAGGCGGCUUUGUAAGUUAGAGGUGAAAGCCCGGGGCUCAACCCCGGAACUGCCUUUAAGACUGCAUCGCUUGAAUCCGGGAGAGGUGAGUGGAAUUCCGAGUGUAGAGGUGAAAUUCGUAGAGAUGUGGAGGAACACCAGUGGCGAAGGCGACUCUUUGGCCUGUAACUGACACUGAGGCGCGAAAGCGUGGGGAGCAAACAGG
rnacentral:rRNA from 1 species